UCUUAUCACCAUUACAGAUUGAAUAUACCCGAUCUCGUCUGAUCUCGGAAGUCAAGCAAUCUCGGGCUUGGUUAGUACUUGGAUGGGUGACCGCUUGGGAAUACCAAGUGUGAUAAGCA
rfam:Ciona savignyi cont_63006, whole genome shotgun sequence.